rnacentral:rRNA from 1 species
CAAUGGGCGAAAGCCUGAUGCAGCAACGCCGCGUGCGGGAAGAAGGCCCUAGGGUUGUAAACCGCUUUCAGCAGGGAAGAAAAUGACGGUACCUGCAGAAGAAGGUGCGGCCAACUACGUGCCAGCAGCCGCGGUGACACGUAGGCACCAAGCGUUGUCCGGAUUUAUUGGGCGUAAAGAGCUCGUAGGCGGUUCAGUAAGUCGGGUGUGAAAACUCUGGGCUCAACCCAGAGACGCCACCCGAUACUGCUGUGACUUGAGUACGGUAGGGGAGUGGGGAAUUCCUGGUGUAGCGGUGAAAUGCGCAGAUAUCAGGAGGAACACCAGUGGCGAAGGCGCCACUCUGGGCCGUAACUGACGCUGAGGAGCGAAAGCGUGGGGAGCAAACAGGAUUAGAUACCCUGGUAGUCCACGCCGUAAACGUCGGGCACUAGGUGUGGGUCUCAACCAACGAGAUCCGCGCCGUCGCUAACGCAUUAAGUGCCCCGCCUGGGGAGUACGGUCGCAAGACUA